rnacentral:rRNA from 1 species
AGAGAUGGAUUGGUGCCUUCGGGAACUCGAAACAGGUGCUGCAUGGGUGUCGUCAGCUUCUGUCGUGAGAUGUUGGGUUAAGUCCCGCAACGAGCGCAACCCUUGUCCUUAGUUGCCAGCACGUAAUGGUGGGAACUCUAAGGAGACCGCCGGUGACAAACCGGAUGAAGGUGGGGAUGACGUCAAGUCAUCAUGGCCCUUACGACCAGGGCUACACACGUACUACAAUGGAAGGGACAGAGGGCUGCAAACCCGCGAGGGCAA